rnacentral:SRP_RNA from 1 species
GCUGGGCGUGGUGGCGCACACCUGUAAUCCCAGCUACUCAGGAGGCUGAGGCAGGAGAAUCGCUUGAACCCAGGAAGUGGAGGUUGUGGUGAGCCGCGAUCAUGCCACUGCACUCCAGCCUGGGUGACAGAGGGAGACUCUGUCUCAA